CCUACGGGUGGCAGCAGUGAGGAAUAUUGGUCAAUGGGCGCGAGCCUGAACCAGCCAAGUAGCGUGAAGGAUGACUGCCCUACGGGUUGUAAACUUCUUUUAUAAAGGAAUAAAGUGAGGCACGUGUGCCUUAUUGUAUGUACUUUAUGAAUAAGGAUCGGCUAACUCCGUGCCAGCAGCCGCGGUAAUAAGGAGGAUCCGAGCGUUAUCCUGAUUUAUUGGGUUUAAAGGGAGCGUAGAUGGGUUGUUAAGUAAGUUGUGAAAGUUUGCGACUCAACCGUAAAAUUGCAAUUGAUACUGGCAGUCUUGAGUACAGUUGAGGUAGGCGGAAUUCGUGGUGUAGCGGUGAAAUGCUUAGAUAUCACGAAGAACUCCGAUGGCGAAGGCAGCUUACUAAACUGCCACUGACAUUGAUGCUCGAAAGUGUGGGUAGCAAACAGGAUUAGAUACCCGAGUAGUC
rnacentral:rRNA from 1 species